UCAAAAUUUGAAAAAAACUUCAUAUCAAUAUAGGUUCUGAAAUGCACCUCACGGGCGCUAGAGCCUCUUCAACAUGACCUCCAAAAUCUGAUCAUGCGAUAGCUUUGCCGAAACUUGACGGAUUCGAAUGAAAUUUGAUACAUGGGAAUUUUUUGAUGAACUGACUCAGUGAUGAAAAAAUCGUAUGAUUCUCAUCAUCAUAAAAUUAUUUCUAAAUAAGUAAGUGAUUUCAUAGAAAUUUCGAUGAAAGCAGUAAUUUCCGAAAUAAUUUUUGUACCAAAAAAGGACCCUAGUAAAUUUUACAGAGCAUCAUUCUCGAGGACAAAGUGAUUUAGCGAUGAUAUGUAUUUUGACACAAUGGGAGCUACCAUUUUUGUACUCAUCAGUUGAAAAACUAAUACAAGAUGAAGAUAGACAAAUUAAUGCUAGAUUAGUUUUUCUAUGAUGACGGGAAAUUGUCAUUUCAUAGAUCAUAUUGUUGGAUUGUUGUGCUAGGGAAUGUGAAUUUUGCUUGGUAGUUGCGUAUAAGCAGUCUAUGCGACAGGCGCAGUAAACACAUUCUGCAUGCAUCCGACGCAUUACCGAAUCCAUACCUUUACAGUUUUGGCAUUUCGCUGAUAAUGAGACGUGCCAACCAAGAAACCGAGUUUAUGAAAUCUAACCAUUUGUCGAUACACUUGUGAAAAACUACCAGCAAGAUUUCACACCAGGCAGCACAUUUUGUAUAGAUCACAUUUUCAAACAAAAUAUACCCCUCAACAGUCAUAAAUACGGAAUAAAAAUAUUCAAACUUAGUAGUGAAGGAGGAUAUACCUGGAAUAAGAUUAUUUACUGUGAAAAGGAGCAAGAUACAGGAGCUCUGUUUCAACAAACGUAGUGAUAUCCUUUACAGAAAGUCUAUUAGACCAGGGAAGUACAGCGAUAACUGAUAAUUAUGGGUUGUUCGGAAAGUCAUUUCGUUUAGGUGGCCUAAUUGUAUUUUUACAGAAAACUUCACACUUACGGCGCAUAAUCAUGAUAUAUUUUGACAGAUAAUAUAGUAAGGCUUGUUUGUUGAAAUUUUUGUUUCAUUCUUAGCUAAAGUUUUUGUUUGGUGCUCUAUCAAAGAUGGAAAAUCAGAAGCAGCAUUUUCGGCAAAUUUUACUCUUUUACGAUCGAAAAGUUCAAGCAAAGCGAAAAUUAUGUGAUGUGUAUGGAGAAGAUAUAUUGACCGAACGACAGUGCCAAAAUUGGUUUGCCAAAUUUCGUUCUGGCAAUUUCGAUGUUGAAGAUGCACCACGUUCUGGAUGUCCCGUUAAAGCCGAUGAAGGCACAAUAAAGGCAUUGAUAGAUGCAAACCGCCGAAUGACAACUCGUGAGACUGCUGAGAGGUUGAAUUUAUCAAAUUUGACCGUUCGUAAUGAUGUGAAACGUCCUGGUUUAGUUUCAGAACUUGACAUAUGGAUUCCACAUGACUGUGAUUUGCUUCUCAAUCAAUCAACAAAAUGAUACAUUUUUGAAGAAAAUCAUUACUGGCGACGAAAAAUGGCUUGUCUACAAAAAUGUUGAGCGCAAGUGAUCAUGGAGUAAAAAAUAUGAACCAGCCCAAACCACUUCAAAGUCCGAUAUUCAGCAAAAAAGGGUAUGCUAUCUGUUUGGUGGGAUCGUUUUAUUUGAGCUUCUACCGGACAAUACUACGAUUAAUUCUGAAGUGUACUGUGAUCCACAGGAUAAAUUGAAUGAUUCACUCGAACAGAAAAGACCAGAAUUAAUCAAUAGAACAGGUGUAGUCGCAAGAUAAUGCGAGACCCAUACAAGUUUAGUAACUCGCCAAAAGCUUUUAAAUCUUGAGUGGGAUGGACUACCACAUCCACCAUAUUUUCCAGAUUUGGCACCUUCACUUCCAAUCAGGACGUCAAAUAUCAGUUGGACCAGUUUUUUGCCAGCAAAGAUCAGAAGUUUUAUGAACGUGGAAUCAUUCUCUUGCUCGAAAGAUGGCAAAAAAUAUUGGGCCAAAAUGGAGAAUAUAUAAUUUAAUAAAAUUAAUCAAAGUUUAUUUUCAUUCCCGAAAAAAAUUACUACAGUAAACAAUUAGUAUAAAAAAACAUUUUUUUCCCACGAAAGUUCGAAAAUUCUACGUGGGCAGUACAUAUAAAAAAAAGUUUGCAAAAGAAUUGUGUGCACACAAGUAAGAAGAGAAAAAAACUAUUAAAAAAUUACAAUGCUUAAUUAAAUUAAUUUUCAACAUUUGAAACGGUAAGUAUUAAAAGUAUUCACUAAUACUAUUAGUGAACGUAUACUAGAAUGAUAAUGAUUUGGUUCGAAUCCAUUUUUUUUGUCUUUCCAUUGUAUGUUGUUUUUGCCUUGGUUUCUUUAAUGUUCUUUGGAAGUAUAUUGUAUAGUAAAGGUGCCAGGUAGGUAUGUGAUUUCAAACCAAUAGUUUUCUUUGCCAUAGGUAAAGGGAUGUUGUGAGAUCUCAUGUCUUUCCAGGCUGAUGUUGUACAGUAGAAGGGCACGGUCGUAUAGUUGACGCACAGUAAACAUUUUUGACAGCUUGUAUGGAUUUUCUGUUGGAUGUUUCUGAGGAGAACUCUAUGAAGGUUGAGUAAUGGUCGGUCACAGUUGUAUGCAGUAAAGCAGGAUUCCAGCAGCAUUGCAAGAUUCCUAUUGAAUUCCUCCACAGAUGAACUUGAAGAUCUGUACAUAGCGAUGACCUAUAUGUUUUUAUUAAGCUUUGUUAUAUUGAGGUCUAUAACUUUUAUUUCUCCAACCUUUACUAUGUCAAAACUAUAUUGUAAGUUACUCCUUAUAAACACAACAACACCAUUAUUCUGAUUAAAUUCCAUUCCAUAUUGAUUGAGAUCCCCUACUUUCCAUGUUUCGGCUAGAACUAUGCAAUUUACAUCAAAAUUUAACUGUGAUAAAACAAUAUUGAAUUCAUCAGAAUUUUUACCUAUACUUCUUAUAUUAUUAUGUAGAAUUCUUAAAUUACCGCUGUUUUCUUUAUAGAUAAUAAAUUGUGUUCUUCUGUGAUCUGAACAUUUCUGGUA